AUUGAACGCUGGCGGCAUGCCUAACACAUGCAAGUCGAACGGCAGCACAGUAAAGACUUCGGUCUUUAUGGGUGGCGAGUGGCGGACGGGUGAGUAACGCGUAGGAAUCUGUCCUGGAGAGUGGGAUAACCCGAGGAAACUCGGGCUAAUACCGCAUGAUAUCGAGAGAUCAAAGGCAGGGGACCCUUCGGGGCCUUGCGCCCUAGGUUGAGCCUACGUCGGAUUAGCUAGUUGGUGGGGUAAAGGGCUACCAAGGCGACGAUCCGUAGCUGGUCUGAGAGGAUGACCAGCCACACUGGGACUGAGACACGGCCCAGACUCCUACGGGAGGCAGCAGUGGGGAGUCUUGGACAAUGGGGGAAACCCUGAUCCAGCGAUGCCGCGUGUGUGAAGAAGGCCUUCGGGUUGUAAAGCACUUUAGGUGGGGAAGAAAGGUAAUGAGUGAAUAACUGAUUGCUUUGACGGUACCCGCAGAAUAAGCACCGGCUAACUCUGUGCCAGCCGCCGCGGUAA
rnacentral:rRNA from 1 species